UACGGAGGGGGCUAGCGUUGUUCGGAAUUACUGGGCGUAAAGCGCACGUAGGCGGCUUGGUAAGUUAGAGGUGAAAGCCUGGAGCUCAACUCCAGAAUUGCCUUUAAGACUGCCGAGCUAGCAGGUGAGAGAGGUGACUGGAAUUCCUGGUGUAGCGGUGAAAUGCGCAGAUAUCAGGAGGAACACCGGUGGCGAAGGCGGGUCUCUGGGCCGAUACUGACGCUGAGGAGCGAAAGCGUGGGGAGCGAACAGG
rnacentral:rRNA from 1 species